GGCGGCGUGCCUAACACAUGCAAGUCGAACGGGAAUCUUCGGAUUCUAGUGGCGGACGGGUGAGUAACGCGUAAGAAUCUAACUUCAGGACGGGGACAACAGUUGGAAACGACUGCUAAUACCCGAUGUGCCGCAAGGUGAAAACUAAUUGGCCUGAAGAAGAGCUUGCGUCUGAUUAGCUAGUUGAUGGGGUAAGAGCCUACCAAGGCGACGAUCAGUAGCUGGUCUGAGAGGAUGAGCAGCCACACUGGGACUGAGACACGGCCCAGACUCCUACGGGAGGCAGCAGUGGGGAAUUUUCCGCAAUGGGCGAAAGCCUGACGGAGCAACGCCGCGUGAGGGAGGAAGGUCUUUGGAUUGUAAACCUCUUUUCUCAAGGAAGAAGUUCUGACGGUACUUGAGGAAUCAGCCUCGGCUAACUCCGUGCCAGCAGCCGCGGUAAUACGGGGGAGGCAAGCGUUAUCCGGAAUUAUUGGGCGUAAAGCGUCCGCAGGUGGUCAGCCAAGUCUACCGUCAAAUCAGGUUGCUUAACGACCUAAAGGCGGUGGAAACUGGCAGACUAGAGAGCAGUAGGGGUAGCAGGAAUUCCCAGUGUAGCGGUGAAAUGCGUAGAGAUUGGGAAGAACAUCGGUGGCGAAAGCGUGCUACUGGGCUGUAUCUGACACUCAGGGACGAAAGCUAGGGGAGCGAAAGGGAUUAGAUACCCCUGUAGUCCUAGCCGUAAACGAUGGAUACUAGGCGUGGCUUGUAUCGACCCGAGCCGUGCCGAAGCUAACGCGUUAAGUAUCCC
rnacentral:rRNA from 1 species